rnacentral:pre_miRNA from 1 species
AGGGACUUUCAGGGGCAGCUGUGUUUUACUAACCCAGUCAUAAUGCCCCUAAAAAUCCUUA